UGACACCUGGUGCAUAAACCGACCAUGUGC
rnacentral:piRNA from 1 species